rnacentral:misc_RNA from 1 species
AAGUCGUAACAAGGUUUCCGUAGGUGAACCUGCGGAAGGAUCAUUAACACGUAUCCACGUUUAUCAACCAAUGCGAACUCGUUUUCCCGUCUCCCUUUGGCACUAGAAUGAAUUGGAACCAGUUUGAGGGAAUUGAUGUGGGCUAAGUGCAUGAAAGUGCACGAAGUCGGCCUUCCUGGUAUACUUAUAGUACAUGAAAAUGUCUAUAGACAAUUGAAUCUUUUGUUUGAAGGCCAAAUUUCUUAGCUUUACUAUGAUCCCCAUCAUGAUCGCCGGUAAAGUUAGGAGAAACCCCCUAAACUAUUUUCACCACCUUUUUGCUAGUUGACUUUUUAUCUGUACUUACUUUGCUUGUCAAUGUAGGCUACACGUUUAAUUAAUUGAACGUUAAAAUAUACAACUCUUAGCAAUGGAUAUCUUGGUUCUC